UACGGAGGGUGCAAGCAUUGAUCGGAAUUACUGGGCGUAAAGGGCGCGUAGGCGGCUAGGAAAGUCAGAUGUGAAAUUCCGGAGCUCAACUCCGGAGCUGCAUUUGAAACUUCCUGACUAGAGUUCAGUUAGGGAAAACGGAAUUCCACGUGUAGCGGUGAAAUGCGUAGAUAUGUGGAAGAACACCGGUGGUGAAGACGGUUUUCUGGGCUGAUACUGACGCUGAGGCGCGAAAGCAAGGGGAGCAAACAGG
rnacentral:rRNA from 1 species